GACGAACGCUGGCGGCGUGCUUAACACAUGCCAGUCGAACGGAAAGGCCCUGCUUUUGUGGGGUGCUCGAGUGGCGAACGGGUGAGUAACACGUGAGUAACCUGCCCUUGACUUUGGGAUAACUUCAGGAAACUGGGGCUAAUACCGGAUAGGAGCUCCUGCUGCAUGGUGGGGGUUGGAAAGUUUCGGCGGUUGGGGAUGGACUCGCGGCUUAUCAGCUUGUUGGUGGGGUAGUGGCUUACCAAGGCUUUGACGGGUAGCCGGCCUGAGAGGGUGACCGGCCACAUUGGGACUGAGAUACGGCCCAGACUCCUACGGGAGGCAGCAGUGGGGAAUAUUGCACAAUGGGCGGAAGCCUGAGGCAGCAACGCCGCGUGCGGGAUGACGGCCUUCGGGGUGUAAACCGCUUUCGCCUGUGACGAAGCGUGAGUGACGGUAAUGGGUAAAGAAGCACCGGCUAACUACGUG
rnacentral:rRNA from 1 species